GGUCAGUGUAACAACUGACC
rnacentral:misc_RNA from 1 species